UACGGGGGGAGCAAGCGUUGUUCGGAUUUACUGGGCGUAAAGGGCGCGUAGGCGGCCUGUGCAAGUCAGUUGUGAAAUCUCCGAGCUUAACUCGGAACGGUCAACUGAUACUGCUCGGCUAGAGUGCGGAAGGGGCAACUGGAAUUCUUGGUGUAGCGGUGAAAUGCGUAGAUAUCAAGAGGAACACCUGCGGCGAAGGCGGGUUGCUGGGCCGACACUGACGCUGAAGCGCGAAAGCGUGGGGAGCAAACAGG
rnacentral:rRNA from 1 species